rnacentral:rRNA from 1 species
CCCUUAGAUGUUCUGGGCCGCACGCGCGCUACACUGACGAAGUCAGCGAGCAUGUCCUACGCCGACAGGUGCGGGGAAUCUUGUCAAACUUCGUCGUGAUGGGGAUUGAUUAUUGAAAUUCUUGAUCAUCAACGAGGAAUUCCUAGUAAGCGCAAGUCAGCAGCUUGCGUUGAUUACGUCCCUGCCCUUUGUACACACCGCCCGUCGCUACUACCGAUUGAAUGGUUUAGUGAGAUCUUCGGAUUGGCGCCACUGCGGCUCAGCAAUGGGCUCGGUGGAUGCCGAAAAGUUGAUCAAACUUGAUCAUUUAGAGAAAGUAAAAGUCGUAACA